GUCCAGGUCUCUCCUCCCUGUGAGGAGGAGUCAAUGCAAAACUCAGAUGUCUUCCACCUCUACUUAUCUGACUGCAGAGAGGACGACAGAGAACAGUGGACACAAAGUUUGACAUGAUGGACUAUAGGACAGGACUGCUGCUUUUAACUCUCUGCUGGGCAGGUGUUGAUGGUCAGACUCUGACAGAAUCUGAACCAGUGGUUAAAAGGCCUGGAGAAUCUCACAGACUGACCUGUAGAGCCUCUGGAUUCACAUUCAGUAACUACUAUAUGCAUUGGGUCAGACAGGCUCCUGGAAAAGGACUGGAGUGGAUUGCCUGGAUUGAGAGUGGUAGUGGUAGCAGCCAAUAUUACUCUCAGUCAGUCCAAGGCCGGUUUACCAUCUCCAGAGACAACAGCAGACAGCAGCUGUAUCUGCAGAUGAACAGUCUGAAGACUGAAGAUUCUGCUGUUUAUUAUUGUGCUGGAGAGCCACAGUGGCUGGAGUUGGUUGAGCAGCUGUACAAAAUCCUACAGGACUCAUCUUUAUUGGACUGA